rnacentral:rRNA from 1 species
GCCUGUGAAACGAAUCUAAGUUCCCUCUUAAUUUUCCCUCCCGGACGAUCUUAACCACCAUGUGACAAAUCAAGAGUAAUUUAAAGGAGGUACAGCUCCUUUAAAAAAGAAUACAAUCUUCCCUAGCGGAUAACUACCCAACACCCCAGACUGUAGGCCCUCAAGCAGCCACCAACAGAGAGUGCGUCAAAGCUCCACCCCCAAAAAUCCAAAAACAACAGGACUCCCUUAUCUAUAACAGGCCAACCUAUGACAAUAGGAGGAUCAAUGCUAAAAUGAGUAAUCGGGGGUCACCCUCCAAAGCGCAAGCUUACAUUCCUCACAUUAUUAACAGACCCUAAACUAAUACCCCUAACCCAACAAGCCAAGUAUUAAAUUCUCUGUUAACCCAACCCAGGAGCGCCCAUUAGAAAGAUUCAAAUCUGCAAAAGGAACUAGGCAAUCCCAAGGCCCGACUGUUUACCAAAAACAUAGCCUUCAGCCAACCAAGUAUUGAAGGUGAUGCCUGCCCAGUGACACCCAGUUUAACGGCCGCGGUAUCCUAACCGUGCGAAGGUAGCGCAAUCAAUUGUCCCAUAAAUCGAGACUUGUAUGAAUGGCUAAACGAGGUCUUAACUGUCUCUUGCAGACAAUCAAUGAAAUUGAUCUUCCUGUGCAAAAGCAGGAAUAAACCCAUAAGACGAGAAGACCCUGUGGAACUUAAAAAUCAGCGACCACUACACACAACCCGAAACCUACUAGGCCCACGACCCCAUAAAACACUGGUCCGCAUUUUUCGGUUGGGGCGACCUUGGAGAAAAACAAAUCCUCCAAAAACAAGAUCAAUAAAUCUUGACCAAGAACAACCCCUCAACGUGCUAACAGCAACCAGACCCAAUAUAAUUGAUCAAUGGACCAAGCUACCCCAGGGAUAACAGCGCAAUCCCCUCCGAGAGCCCGUAUACAAGGGGGUUUACGACCUCGAUGUUGGAUCAGGACAUCCUAAUGGUGCAGCCGCUAUUAAGGGUUCGUUUGUUCAACGAUUAACAGUCCUACGUGAUCUGAGUUCAGACCGGAGCAAUCCAGGUCGGUUUCUAUCUAUGCCUC